ACCAGGAGAGGCAGCCCAGGUGACAGUACAAGGCAGCGACGGGGAAGAACGCCUCCCGUCCUGGGAAGGAGAGUCUCCAGAGCUGUCUUGGACUGAACUCGGGCCCUGCAAACUGGCCCAGUGCCAGCCGCCUGGUGGAGGCCGUUUGCAGCCAGCUCUGCCAUCUUCACCCAGUGGCCACGUGUCUGGAGGGACCAGGAGGACUUUGUGGUCCCUCAUCCUCAAGGAUUAUGUGGCCAUUAGAGAGGCAGUGCUGGCCAGCCCGGGGUUGAUGGCUCAGACCAACAUCCAGCUCUUUGAAUUAAAUUGAGGACUCAGUGGCGCUGGCCAGACUCUCGUUUCAGCAAAGGGUCUGUCCCUGGUACAAGGGGGACAAGGACUUCAAUGUCCCAGAGGAGCAGCCUGGGCCCUCCGGCAGGGGUCUGCCUCCUCCUCCUUCUCCUCUUCCUUCAAACGAUGAACAGCCUGGCCCCUCAUCCAGUGCUGUUAGUCUUCCCCUUGCUCCAGCACCACUCCCCUCUUCUGUUCAUCCACCUCCUCUGCCUGGACCACCUGCACCCAGGACCGGAGCCUAGAGGAAGAGGAAGGCGGCCUGAAGCUGCUGUGGCAGAGCGGGGGCCGCUGCCUGGAGGAAAAACCCCUCCAGCUGCCAACGUCAUACAUCUGCAUAAGUGUUGCUAACGCAAAAGGAUUGACACUGACCUCACUCACAUUGCAGGUGUGUCACACUGUGUGACUGUUGUUGGAAAGACUGUGGAGGGAAGAGAUGAAGAGAAGACAGGAGGACUUUAUCUAUCUCCAUUUAUAACUUUUAAUUUGCAUUAUUUAUUAUUAUUAUUAUUAUUAUAUUUUAUUUGUUGUAUUUGGAGUGGAGUUUGUGUCACCUGAUGGUUCAUGAAGAUCUCAGUCCAGUGUUCCCUCUCUUUUAGCUCUGUGUUUGUUCUCCACCAGCUCCUGAGGGAAAUCUGUCUCUUUAGCUGCUAAAUGCUCCACUAUCUUCAGCAGCUGUUCUCUGACUGUGUCUGUCUGCUGUUUGCUGCUGAGGAAUCGUGGACAGUGACUUUUUACAGAUGUUUGCAUAGGGGAGUUUACAAAAGCACUGGGUGUGUACAACAGAGAUCCCUUUGCUAGAGACCAUGCUGCCACACCAGUAGCUUGCUGGAAACCAAUAUCCUUUGUUAUUAUUUAUUGUUUAUUUCUUUCAAAUUCUGUUUACCUUCAAUGAACCAGAAGUAGUUAAGCUGUAUCCUGUAUUUAAUUAUGUUCUUUGUUAACAGUAUAAGCAAAACCCUGGUGAAUGUUUGAGAGAAAUUUUUUUUUUUCCCCCUUUUGAUGCAUUAAGAAUGUAAGAUGUUUUAGUCACACUUUAUUAUUUUUGUUGUAUGCAUGGCAAAUUAUUUACUUUUGUUUGUUGUAAAAAAGAAAUCAUCCAUCCUACCAUUAGUUCCUUGAUGAAUUUCCU